UNANACAUGCAAGUCGAACGAAGUAGCAAUACUUAGUGGCAGACGGGUGAGUAACAUGUAGGUAUCUGCCCUUUGGCCUGGAAUAACACGAGGAAACUUGUGCUAAUACCGGAUAAGUCUUUACGGAGAAAGCUUUAUGCACCAUUGGAUGAGCCUACGCUUGAUUAGUUUGUUGGUGGGGUAACGGCCUACCAAGACUGUGAUCAAUAGCUGAUUUGAGAGGAUGAUCAGCCACAUUGGGACUGAGACACGGCCCAAACUCCUACGGGAGGCAGCAGUGGGGAAUCUUGCACAAUGGAGGAAACUCUGAUGCAGCGAUGCCGCGUGAGUGAAGAAGGCCUUUGGGUUGUAAAGCUCUUUCGUCGGGGAAGAAAAUGACUGUACCCGAAUAAGAAGGUCCGGCUAACUUCGUGCCAGCAGCCGCGGUAAUACGAAGGGACCUAGCGUAGUUCGGAAUUACUGGGCUUAAAGAGUUCGUAGGUGGUUGAAAAAGUUGGUGGUGAAAUSCCAGAGCUUAACUCUGGAACUGCCAUCAAAACUUUUCAGCUAGAGUAUGAUAGAGGAAAGCAGAAUUUCUAGUGUAGAGGUGAAAUUCGUAGAUAUUAGAAAGAAUACCAAUUGCGAAGGCAGCUUUCUGGAUCAUUACUGACACUGAGGAACGAAAGCAUGGGUAGCGAAGAGGAUUAGAUACCCUCGUAGUCCAUGCCGUAAACGAUGUGUGUUAGACGUUGGAAAUUUAUUUUCAGUGUCGCAGCGAAASSAUAAACACACCGCCUGGGGAGUACGACCGCAAGGUUAAAACUCAAAUGAAUUGACGGGGACCCGCACAAGUAGUGGAGCAUGUGGUUUAAUUCGAAGAUACGCGCAGAACCUUACCAACACUUGACAUGUUCGUCGCGACUCUAAGAGAUUAGAGUUUUCNNUUCGGCCGGACGAAACACAGGUGCUGCAUGGCUGUCGUCAGCUCGUGUCGUGAGAUGUUGGGUUAAGUCCCGCAACGAGCGCAACCCUCACUUUUNGUUGCCAUCAUUAAGUUNGGCACUCUGAAAGAACUGCCAGUGAUAAGCUGGAGGAAGGUGGGGAGGACGUCAAGUCCUCAUGGCCCUUACGUGUUGGGCUACACACGUGCUACAAUGGUAUCUACAACAGGAAGCAAGACUGCGAAGUUAAGCAAAUCCCUAAAAGAUACCUCAGUUCGGAUUGCACUCUGCAACUCGAGUGCAUGAAGCUGGAAUUACUAGUAAUCGUGGAUCAGCGUGCCACGGUGAAUNCGUUCCCGGGUCUUGUACACACCGCCCGU
rnacentral:rRNA from 1 species